rnacentral:tRNA from 1 species
GUGGCUAUAGCUCAGCGGCAGAGCACCUGACUGUGGCUCAGGGGGUCGCGGGUUCAAAUCCCGUUAGCCACC